GACGAACGCUGGCGGCGUGCCUAACACAUGCAAGUCGAGGGCUUUAGUAGCAAUACAAAGAGCACUGGCGCACGGGUGAGUAACGCGUAGAUCAUCUGCCCCUAACACUGACAUAACAGUUCUAACGGACUGCUAAUAUCAGAUGUGAUGAGCAAUCAUUAAAGGGAAACCGGUUAGGGAUGAGUCUGCGUCUGAUUAGGUAGUUGGUGAGGUAACGGCUCACCAAGCCUACGAUCAGUAACUGGUACUGAGAGGACGAACAGUCACACUGGAACUGAGACACGGUCCAGACUCCUACGGGAGGCAGCAGUGAGGAAUAUUGCACAAUGGGAGAAAUCCUGAUGCAGCGACGCCGCGUGUGGGAAGAAGGAGCUUAGCUUCGUAAACCACUGUCGGAGGGGACGAAUGAUAGGUUAGACCUAUUGAGACGGUACCCUCAAAGGAAAGAUCGGCUAACUACGUGCCAGCAGCCGCGGUA
rnacentral:rRNA from 1 species